AAAUUGAAGAGUUUGAUCAUGGCUCAGAUUGAACGCUGGCGGCAGGCCUAACACAUGCAAGUCGAACGGUAACAGGAAGCAGCUUGCUGCUUCGCUGACGAGUGGCGGACGGGUGAGUAAUGUCUGGGAAACUGCCUGAUGGAGGGGGAUAACUACUGGAAACGGUGGCUAAUACCGCAUAACGUCGCAAGACCAAAGAGGGGGACCUUCGGGCCUCUUGCCAUCAGAUGUGCCCAGAUGGGAUUAGCUUGUUGGUGAGGUAACGGCUCACCAAGGCGACGAUCCCUAGCUGGUCUGAGAGGAUGACCAGCCACACUGGAACUGAGACACGGUCCAGACUCCUACGGGAGGCAGCAGUGGGGAAUAUUGCACAAUGGGCGCAAGCCUGAUGCAGCCAUGCCGCGUGUAUGAAGAAGGCCUUCGGGUUGUAAAGUACUUUCAGCGGGGAGGAAGGUGUUGUGGUUAAUAACCGCAGCAAUUGACGUUACCCGCAGAAGAAGCACCGGCUAACUCCGUGCCAGCAGCCGCGGUAAUACGGAGGGUGCAAGCGUUAAUCGGAAUUACUGGGCGUAAAGCGCACGCAGGCGGUCUGUCAAGUCGGAUGUGAAAUCCCCGGGCUCAACCUGGGAACUGCAUUCGAAACUGGCAGGCUUGAGUCUUGUAGAGGGGGGUAGAAUUCCAGGUGUAGCGGUGAAAUGCGUAGAGAUCUGGAGGAAUACCGGUGGCGAAGGCGGCCCCCUGGACAAAGACUGACGCUCAGGUGCGAAAGCGUGGGGAGCAAACAGGAUUAGAUACGGUAGUCCACGCCGUAAACGAUGUCUACUUGGAGGUUGUGCCCUUGAGGCGUGGCUUCCGGAGCUAACGCGUUAAGUAGACCGCCUGGGGAGUACGGCCGCAAGGUUAAAACUCAAAUGAAUUGACGGGGGCCCGCACAAGCGGUGGAGCAUGUGGUUUAAUUCGAUGCAACGCGAAGAACCUUACCUGGUCUUGACAUCCACAGAAGAAUCCAGAGAUGGAUUUGUGCCUUCGGGAACUGUGAGACAGGUGCUGCAUGGCUGUCGUCAGCUCGUGUUGUGAAAUGUUGGGUUAAGUCCCGCAACGAGCGCAACCCUUAUCCUUUGUUGCCAGCGAUUAGGUCGGGAACUCAAAGGAGACUGCCAGUGAUAAACUGGAGGAAGGUGGGGAUGACGUCAAGUCAUCAUGGCCCUUACGACCAGGGCUACACACGUGCUACAAUGGCGCAUACAAAGAGAAGCGACCUCGCGAGAGCAAGCGGACCUCAUAAAGUGCGUCGUAGUCCGGAUUGGAGUCUGCAACUCGACUCCAUGAAGUCGGAAUCGCUAGUAAUCGUGGAUCAGAAUGCCACGGUGAAUACGUUCCCGGGCCUUGUACACACCGCCCGUCACACCAUGGGAGUGGGUUGCAAAAGAAGUAGGUAGCUUAACCUUCGGGAGGGCGCUUACCACUUUGUGAUUCAUGACUGGGGUGAAGUCGUAACAAGGUAACCGUAGGGGAACCUGCGGUUGGAUCACCUCCUUACCUUAAAGAA
rnacentral:rRNA from 1 species